UCUGCCUGAAGUCAGCAAUGGCAGUGGAAAAAGUGAACGGAGGCAUGUAGUACAUCCGUUCCACGCGUUCAAAUUUUGAAUCAACAUUAACAGCCAUCUUGUUCAGAUUGGCAUUUCUCUCUUGGCAGGAGUUGAGAAUGGUUGUCAACAACGCAGGCAAUUUCCGCAGACCUGGGAACCCGAGAGAGGGUACUGAAGUGAUGCUGAGGUAGCAGGGGUGAACACACUCCAGACAGACUAAUGAGACCAAGAUGAGCAGAAAGAGGGGGCCUGCCACCCUUUUAUCAGUCCAGAACCAAUCAAUGUGACUUCUCCRCAGGGGUGCUUCCACUUCAAUUACCGUCCUCGAAGCACCGUCUGCAUACGAAGGCAUCGGAAAGAAGUUUACAAGCUCAGAAACGGUUGCGGAUAGGCCGCGAGGAAUCAAGGACAUGUGUGUGACUAACUGCAAAAUCUAGGACAAUUUUUUAUUUUUUUUUGGAGAUUUGCUGUAUCUCUGGGACAGGUUGUCCUGGUCAAAUUCUGUCGCUCACGGCUCACAUCUGCUCACCCACACAUCGAGACGCAUGUGUGGCUGAGGAUCAGGGUUUGCAUUUUUGCUGYUGAUUAACAUGUUAGACACUGGC